rnacentral:rRNA from 1 species
UGAGUACGAGCUGCUACGGCAGCGAAGUGGGUGAUGUCAAGCUUCCAAGAAAAGCCCUAUACCCGUUAAGGCAUGAUGGCCUGUACCCGAAACCGACACAGGUGGGGUGGUAGAGAAUACCGAGGGGCGCGAGAUAACUCUCUCUAAGGAACUCGGCAAAAUGGCCCCGUAACUUCGGGAGAAGGGGUGCCACCGCAAGGUGGUCGCAGUGAAGAGGCCCAGGCGACUGUUUACCAAAAACACAGGUCUCCGCUAAGUCGCAAGACGAUGUAUGGGGGCUGACGCCUGCCCAGUGCCGGAAGGUUAAGGAAGCUGGUCAGCGUAAGCGAAGCUAGCGACUGAAGCCCCGGUGAACGGCGGCCGUAACUAUAACGGUCCUAAGGUAGCGAAAUUCCUUGUCGGGUAAGUUCCGACCCGCACGAAAGGCGUAACGAUCUGGGCGCUGUCUCGGAGAGAGGCUCGGCGAAAUAGAAUUGUCUGUGAAGAUGCGGACUACGUGCACCCGGACAGAAAGACCCUAUGAAGCUUUACUGUAGCUUGGUAUUGUGCUCGGGCUCGGAAUGCGCAGGAUAGGUGGGAGGCUAUGAACCAUUGCUUGUGGGUGAUGGUGAGCCACUGGUGAGAUACCACUCUUUCCGAGCUAGAGUUCUAACAGCCACCCGUUAACCGGGGGCUGGACAGUAUCAGGUGGGCAGUUUGACUGGGGCGGUCGCCUCCUAAAAGGUAACGGAGGCGCGCAAAGGUUUGCUCAGGCUGGUUGGAAAUCAGCCGACGAGUGUAAAAGCAGAAGCAAGCUUGACUGUGAGACCUACAAGUCGAACAGGGAGGAAACUCGGCUUUAGUGAUCCGACGGUUCUGCGUGGAAGGGCCGUCGCUCAACGGAUAAAAGUUACUCUAGGAUAACAGGCUGAUCUCCCCCAAGAGUUCACAUCGACGGGGAGGUUUGGCACCUCGAUGUCGGCUCAUCGCAACCUGGGGCUGAAGUCGGUCCCAAGGGUUGGGCUGUUCGCCCAUUAAAGCGGUACGCGAGCUGGGUUCAGAACGUCGUGAGACAGUUCGGUCCAUAUCCGGUGCAUGCGCAGGAAUAUUGAGAGGAUUUCUCCCUAGUACGAGAGGACCGGGAGGAACGCACCUCUGGUGUACCAGUUAUCGUGCCAACGGUAAACGCUGGGUAGCCAUGUGCGGAGAGGAUAACCGCUGAAAGCAUCUAAGUGGGAAGCCCACCUCAAGAUGAGUAUUCCCAUGGGGUAACCCAGUAAGGUCACGGGAAGAACACCCGUUGAUAGGCUCUACGUGGAAGCGCAGUAAUGUGUGAAGCGGAGGAGUACUAAUAGACCGAGGGCUUGACC